GGCCCAAAAUCACAAAUAAAAUUAUAACCCAAAAUUAUUUUCUACAACUAUGAACUCGCGCCAUUUUUCGGCAAUGGCGGAUUGAAACAUUGAAUCUACUGAUUACAUAAUCUCAAAUCUUUACUUUUAGCAUACAAAUUUAUACUUCAUCAAAAAUGGCGAUCUUUCCAAUUUCUAUGAAGAAUUUAUCAUCAAAACCAGCAAUUUUAGGAGAGAGAAAGAGAGUUGAAGAAACUGCAAAGAUGAGGGUACGACAUUACAAUGGUUGGAGUAUUCGCCAGAAUUCUUACAGAAAAUCAGUGAAUAACUAUGGAAUUACAUGAAAUUUCUCCAAGUUUGAGGGAUUUUCUUAUUUUUGGUGAGGUGAUUUAAGGUUUUGCUUUGCCUAUUACAUGUUCGACGAAAUGCCUCUGAGAAUAGGGUGGAGCUUCUCAAGUAUUAAUUUUGAACCAUACUUGGGUUUUUCAUAAGAAAUUUGUUGUAAUUAGUAAUUCUUCUUGUGAUAGUUAUGAUUUGCUGUCCAAGGGGCUGCAUCAAGGUGGGAAAGUGACGAGCUUCGAAGCUUCGAGGGUGAAGGAAAGGUGGUAUUUGAUGGUAUUAAUCAUGAUUCAAAGUGAUGUGACAUUCUGAAAUAAUUGGGAGAAUCAUAUAGUAUUGAUAACAUCAUAACAAGGAAGAGCAAUCCUCAUCAUUGAUGAUUGUUCAUAUUGUGGGGGUUGGCCAAGGUAAUGGGAAAUGGCUGGUGGUUGAUGCAUUUUCUAGGCAGCUUUACAUGGUUAUUCAAAGAACGCAAUGCUUGGGUUUCAGGUUUCGGGUUUACGAGUGAAACGAAGAUGUGCAAUUAUGGGAAAAAAGGGUUAACUACUAGGGAGACAAUGUUAUUUGUGGAUAUCAAUUUUUGUUUUAGUGCCUCAAUAUUGCGAAUUUCACAUGGUUUUCUUGAUCAGCAUAAAUGUGAUUAUGUAGAUGAUAUAGACAGUAUUUUGUUCGAGAAGUCAGAUGUUGGCACUGGUUGGCACGAACAGCGGAUUGAUCUUUUUUUGAUACGAAGACUUCUUGAGCUAGCUUAUGGUAUCAUGUCUCUCUUUCAAUCUGAUUUGGUUUAUAUAAUUUUCAUCUGGGGGAACUUGUUAGUGAUUUCAAAUUGUGGUAUAAUAGCCUUAGGUUUCGCAAACUGAUCAGGGUGCCACAAAUAUGGUCAUACUGGUCGAAUGAGAUUGACAAUUCUAGCAUAAUAUGUAGCCAAACUUGUAGAACCAGCCUACUCGUCAGGGUAGGUGCAAAAGGAUGUGCAGUGUCUUCUAAAGAGAGAUUUGGAGGUGAUUUAUGUCUGAAAAGGCUCUGUAUUAGACAGACGUGAAGUUGUUCGAGGAUGUACUUGGAGUCUUGGAGUAAUGUGAGGUUAGAAAGUGGUUAAGGGCCAGAGAGAUGGCUGCUCUGGAUCGGAGGGAGAUUUUGGCGAGCCAGAAUAAUUUUAAGACGGUAAGAUAAUAAAUUUAACGGAACCAUUGUUGUUGCAACUUAAGAGCAGAAGUCAAUCUUUUUGUUAUUGCUCCAUCAGCUGCUGUUUAGAAAAUAAGAAGAUCGUGUAUAGUUGUGGCUUUGCAUACAAUGAAACUCCAAGAGUCAUAGACUUAUAAAGAAGCUUUAAUCUUUAUAUCCUAAUUAUACAUGUUCUAUUCUGUUGCACAAGCUUAAAGAAUCCUGUCUGAUGUAUUGUUGAAUGGUUACUUAAAUUGCCUUGUAAAUAAAUGAAUUAGAAGCCACAGUUCUUGAUUUUACACCCUUUUUUUUUUUUUGAAGUUAAGGAUGCAAUACUUAAGUUAAAGUUCGGUUACAAUCAAAGAUCACUGGGACAUCACCAGUCAAAGUAGUACUAGAGUUUACAUUACAAAAGUUCAUGUCUCUCUCAAAAGCUACAAGACAAGUAUCUGGUGGAUUAGACAAAAUACAACAUUCAUUCAGGCGAUCCAGAUUGCUCCUAGCAUCCUUUGCAAGCACAUCAGCUACUGCAUUGCUCUCUCGCUUCUCAAAGCGCAUAUCCACAUGGAGGUCCAUCCUUAGGUCCCUGCAAUUUAGUAACAUCGAUGGAGCAUUAGAGAUUCAACCCCAGAUGGAUAGCUUUCAAUUCGGCAUCAUAACUUGAGGCUAGAAAACCUCUCCAGUUUAGCCCAUCAAUCCAGGCACCCAGAGAAUUUCUACACACUACAGCGCAGCCAGCUUCUUUUGUGGAGAUUAGAAACGAUGCAUCACAGUUUACUUUGAAGAAAUUUGAAGGAGGGGGAGACCAGUGUACAGGAGAGGGCUUCGGACUUUCAGAGCUUCACUUUGAAGAAAAGAAAAACUCUGAAGCAGCCCAUUUACACUGAGAGAUUGCUGAAGAAAUUGGGGUGUUUGAAUUUGAGAAGUACCAAGCAUUACGCCUCAACCAAAUAUGCCACAUAGCAAAGAAUUGCAGAUUGUGUCAUCAUGAACAACUAGGCUGGACCGUGCUUGGAGAUAGACAAAUCAAUCAGUUCGCAUCGUCGUUGUGGUGAGUGUGUUUAUUGUAAGAUUGGUCACAAUGCUUCGCAACACAUUGAUUUUUAGUUAUAUCUAGAUAAAACCCUGUUCUUUUGUUCUUAGUAUUUUUUUUUUUUGUUUGCUUGCUUGUUUGUUAGUUAUGUCUACCUAUGCUCGUUCUUUCCAAUUUCCAUUAUAUGUCUUUAAUUAACUUUGAUAUCUGUCAGUUUUGUAGUCAAGAUCUCUAUUUUUUUUCCUUUUUUUUUUUUUUUUUUUUUGAAUUGGAUACUAGAAUAAUGAGGAAAUAAUGUCCAAUCCCCAGGAGUUGCAAACUUUUGUAUUCUUACCUGCCUAAGCGUGCAGAAUUGCGUCCCAUGGAAGGUUAGCUGCUAGCUUGAUUGGUGACUAAGUAGUAUACAUCUUAGGCAAGCGUUUAGUAAUGUAGUUUACACUAUCUAUAGCUUAGAUAUUGAAAGGGAAAAAAGGACCAGAGAGAUGGUGAGCUGAGAGAGUGCCUUGGGAUCAUUUAUAUAAAGCCCCAUACAGUACGGCUUAUUACUUCAGAUGAUAACUACAUGCUGGGAUAGUAUAUUGUUACUAACAAAAAUAUGUUGACUUGCUGUUAGUGUGAAUUAAAGACGAGCCUUGUACCUGAAGAGAUGUUUGGGCUUGGAUCAAAUGCUGUUGUGAUGUGUAUACUUGAGGCCUCAGUCAGUAUUCCAACACACUAUAUAAAACUGGUAAUGAGUCUGUGUCUAACGUCUAGGCAAUGAUGUAAAGCUAAGAAACAGAUCAAAGAUGUGAUAGGGUAUUAGGAUGGGCUCAGUAUUUUCCGUCUGCCUGAAUUCUGCAGUCCUACUAGUAACCGUGGCUUUUAGAUCAUAGUUUAGGAGCAGAAAACAUCCAUUAUGUGCC